GAAGAAGGAAUUGCUAGUAAUCGCGAAUCAGCAGGUCGCGGUGAAUACGUUCUCGCCUCUUGUACACACCGCCCGUCAAGGCAGUGGAGUUGGGAGCGCCCGAACAUCGAUGUAUGUCGGUGGAAGGCGAUACCAGCAACAAAGCUUAAGUCGUAACAAGGUAUCCCUACCCGAAGGUGGGGAUGGAUCACCUCCUUU
rnacentral:rRNA from 1 species